GUUUAAAGCCCCCUUUCCCCC
rnacentral:tRNA from 1 species